rnacentral:rRNA from 1 species
GUAGGGGGCAAGCGUUGUCCGGAUUUACUGGGUGUAAAGGGUGCUCAGGUGGAUUUAUUAGUCAGAGGUGAAACUCCGAAGCUCAACUUCGGAACUGCCUUUGAUACUGUAAGUCUAGAGUUUGAGAGAGGGCAAUGGAAUAUCUGGUGUAGCAGUGAAAUGCGUAGAUAUCAGAUAGAACACCAAUGGCGAAGGCAGUUGCCUGGCUCAAUACUGACGCUAAAGCACGAAAGUGUGGGGGGAGCAAACAGGAUUAGAUACCCUGGUAGUCCACACCCCUAAACGAUGAAUACUAGAUGUUGGUCUUUUUAAAGAUCAGUAUCUUAGCUAACGCAUUAAGUAUUCCACCUGGAAGUACGAUCGCAAGGUUG